rnacentral:rRNA from 1 species
UACGGAGGAUCCGAGCGUUAUCCGGAUUUAUUGGGUUUAAAGGGUGCGUAGGCGGCCUAUUAAGUCAGGGGUGAAAGACGGUAGCUUAACUAUCGCAGUGCCUUUGAUACUGAUAGGCUUGAAUGUACUUGAGGUAGGCGGAAUGUGACAAGUAGCGGUGAAAUGCAUAGAUAUGUCACAGAACACCAAUUGCGGAGGCAGCUUACUAAAGUAUGAUUGACGCUGAGGCACGAAAGCGUGGGGAUCAAACAGG